UACAGAGGUCCCAAGCGUUGUUCGGAUUUACUGGGCGUAAAGGGUGCGUAGGUGGUGGGGUAAGUUUGAUGUGAAAUCUCCGGGCUUAACCCGGAAAUGGCAUUGAAUACUAUCCCGCUAGAGGAUCGGAGGGGAGACUGGAAUUCUCGGUGUAGCAGUGAAAUGCGUAGAUAUCGAGAGGAACACCAGUGGCGAAGGCGAGUCUCUGGACGAUUCCUGACACUGAGGCACGAAAGCUAGGGGAGCAAACAGG
rnacentral:rRNA from 1 species